rnacentral:tRNA from 1 species
GCGGUUGUGGCUCAGCGGUAGAGUGCUCACAUCACACAUGUGAGACCCUGGGUUCGGUCCUCAGCACCACA